rnacentral:lncRNA from 1 species
AAAAAUAUGUAAAGACACACAGAGUUCCUGUGUAGUCGUGGCCAUCCUGGAAUUGCUCUGUAGUCCUAGCUGGCCUCACACUCACAGAGAUACAUUUGCCUCUGCCUCCCCCAUCCUGGGACCAAAUGUAUGUGCCACCCCACCAUGAAUGCUUCUUUUUUAAUGUAUUGAUUGUGAUAAAAUAUUGUGAAUUAUUGUAUUUUACCCUCUGUUUAUAUUUCACCUAGCAUUGGGGAUUUAUGCCAGGAUUUCCCAAAAAAAGGAAAAGAGUUAUGUCACUACCUCACUAAGCACCUCUUUGUUAAUUUUUCAAUAAUUCAUUACUGUAUUAUUUUCAAACUGAUAAGAACCCAUACUACACUUGAUCUUUACCAAAAGGCCAAGAAGCCAUUGUCAAUAAAUUUUGUUUGUUUUCUUUAGACAGGGAUUAUCUGUGUAGCUUUGGAGCCUGUCCUUGAACUAGCUCUCUUAGACCAGACUAGCCUCAUACUCACAGAGAUCUGCCUGCCUGUGCCUUCGGAUUGCUGGGAUUAAAGGUGUGUGCCUCAGACUUCCAGGCAGUGAUUGUCAUUAAUCUUCUUACUCUCUGAAUAGCAAGAAAAUUUCCUGGGAGUUGACCCAUUAAACUGAGGUCUGACCUCACACAGAUUUCUAGAACAAUUCAAAGGUCGUUUGUAUCUUACAUAUCAUUGCAGGUGGAAGUGGAUAAACCUGUGGGAAGAAAGCUGAGGGGUCACAGGUGUAGACUGAGAGCAGUUCAUUCUCUCUCAAAAAUAUAUCACUUGCUGUGGACUUAUACCCCUGCAUUGAAUGGACCCUGUGCAAGCAGAGUAGCUAACAUUAGGACUGUGCGUUGAUGAGAAAUUUUGACAGGGAAUUCCUGGCAAAUUGGAUCUCAGCACAUCCAGUAACCUGGGGGAACACAGGGAGGCUCAGGUUGUUGCCCAUGAAUUGGAUCUGGGUGUUGGUGGUAUCAUGGCUGAAAAGAGUCAUAGACAGACAGGUCAGAGACUUAAACAGCCCUUUUCCAUCAAUUGAAAGAUGCCAGACCCCUAAGGGGCACAGGAUCCCAAGGAGCCCCUGAGACUCAGAAACCAGACCAAGAGCUGCAAAGGUAAGAAUGAAUGUGCAUUCGGGUGUCAGCAAUACUGGGAAAGCU